rnacentral:rRNA from 1 species
UACGGAGGGUGCAAGCAUUGAUCGGAAUUACUGGGCGUAAAGGGCGCGUAGGCGGUCAGAAAAGUCAGAUGUGAAAUUCCAGGGCUCAACCCCGGAACUGCAUUUGAAACUCUCUGACUAGAGUGCAGUUAGGGUAAACGGAAUUCCACGUGUAGCGGUGAAAUGCGUAGAUAUGUGGAAGAACACCGGUGGUGAAGACGGUUUACUGGGCUGUAACUGACGCUGAGGCGCGAAAGCAUGGGGAUCAAACAGG